rnacentral:rRNA from 1 species
GAUGAACGCUGGCGGCGCGCCUAACACAUGCAAGUCGAACGAUUAAAGCACCUUCGGGUGUGUAUAAAGUGGCGAACGGCUGAGUAACACGUGGGCAACCUGCCCCUUUCAUUGGGAUAGCCACGGGAAACCGUGGAUAAUACCGAAUACUUCGAGACUUCCGCAUGGAAGACUCGAGAAAGCUCCGGCGGAGAGGGAUGGGCCCGCGGCCUGUUAGCUUGUUGGUGGGGUAACGGCCUACCAAGGCAAUGAUGGGUAGCUGGGUUGAGAGACCGACCAGCCAGAUGGGGACUGAGACACGGCCCAGUCUCCUACGGGAGGCAGCAGUGGGGAAUCUGGCACAAUGGGCGAAAGCCUGAUGCAGCGACGCCGCGUGCGGGAUGAAGGCCUUCGGGUUGUAAACCGCUUUCAGCAGGGACGAGGCGAAAGUGACGGUACCUGCAGAAGAAGCCCCGGCUAACUACGUG